rnacentral:tmRNA from 1 species
GGGGAUGAACGGUUUCGACUUCGGUGGUUAAUCCAGGGGAAGCGAGCCGAGGGUGGCGGACGUAACCUCGUAAAAAUGCGACCGCAAACCACAAGUGCCAACUCAAAUAGCACUGUCAAGGUCCCCAGGACCGCUCUCGCUCUUGCUGCCUAAGCAAGUCUGAGGGUUUGACUGUCAGCCCGGGAGCGCCUUCGGCCCGGAAUCUGGCAUCAACUAGAAGGCUCAACUAGCCAGCCCGGUCACGGGGCAGGCUAGGAAAUCAAACAGUGACUGAGCCCGUCGGCGUCUUGCCUGCGUGAUCGCCGGGGCUGAGAAAAACACAGCAGGCUGCGCUCGGAGAAGACUUGGAAAGGUCCCGAAGGACCCGGGUUCGAUUCCCGGCAUCUCCAA